rnacentral:rRNA from 1 species
GAUGAACGCUGGCGGCGUGCCUAAUACAUGCAAGUCGAGCGAACAGACGAGGAGCUUGCUCCUCUGACGUUAGCGGCGGACGGGUGAGUAACACGUGGAUAACCUACCUAUAAGACUGGGAUAACUUCGGGAAACCGGAGCUAAUACCGGAUAAUAUAUUGAACCGCAUGGUUCAAUAGUGAAAGACGGUUUUGCUGUCACUUAUAGAUGGUUCCGCGCUGCAUUAGCUAGUUGGUAAGGUAACGGCUUACCAAGGCAACGAUGCGUAGCCGACCUGAGAGGGUGAUCGGCCACAUGGGAACUGAGACACGGUCCAGACUCCUACGGGAGGCAGCAGUAGGGAAUCUUCCGCAAUGGGCGAAAGCCUGACGGAGCAACGCCGCGUGAGUGAUGAAGGUCUUCGGAUCGUAAAACUCUGUUAUUAGGGAAGAACAAAUGUGUAAGUAACUGUGCACGUCUUGACGGUACCUAAUCAGAAAGCCACGGCUAACUACGUG